rnacentral:lncRNA from 13 species
ACGGAAUCGCUAUUAUUUUCAAUUUUAGAACACAUUCAAGUAUCUCCAGAAGCUAACCAGCUAAUUAGCUACAAGCUAUUUAGUCAUUGUUAGCCACUGCUAGCGGCUUUUACCUUCUGCACAGAUACCAGCCCUGUUCUUAGCCUGGAUAAUACUCGCUAGUCUACCAUUAUCGGACUNNNNNNNNNNGUAGAGGACAGUAUUACAUGGUGAGUAGGUUUAGAGCUAGAAGACAGUAUUAUAUGGUGAGGAUGGGGAGGGUUAAGGGAGGACAGUAUUACAUGGUGAGGAUGAGGAGGGCUAGAGGUAGAGGACAGUAUUACAUGGUGAGGAUGAGGAGGGUUAAGGGAGGACAGUAUUACAUGGUGAGGAUGAGGGUUAAAGGUAGAGGACAGUAUUAUAUGGUGAGGAUGAGGAGGGUUAGAGGUAGAGGACAGUAUUAUAUGGUGAGGAUGAGGAGGGUUAGAGGAGGACAGUAUUACAUGGUGAGGAUGAGGAGGGUUAGAGGUAGAGGACAGUAUUACAUGGUGAGGAUGAGGAGGGUUAGAGGUAGAGGACAGUAUUACAUGGUGAGGAUGAGGAGGGUUAGAGGUAGAGGACAGCAUUACAUGGUGAGGAUGAAGAGGGUUAGAGGUAGAGGACAGCAUUACAUGGUGAGGAUGAAGAGGGUUAGAGGUAGAGGACAGCAUUAUAUGGUGA